AUAAAAACGUAUAUUCUAUUAUUUAACAAAUGAAUUAGUCAUAAAUAUAUUCUUCACUUGCAACAUGUUUUAAAGAAGCAGCUUUUAGGUUAUAAAAAUAAUAUAACUAUCAACCCUACAAUAUGGAAUCUUCUGACUUUAUAAGCACCAGCGAUAUGUCUACUACCAACAAUACCGAAAAUGAAACAAUACAAGAUAUGUCUGCAGUUCGGGCUCAUACGAACAUAAACGGUUCAACUUUGGGUAAUAUGGAAAUUCAAAUGGACAAUUAUGAUGAAGACCGUACGAAUAUUAAUAAUGCUAAUAAGUUUUGUUGGAAACGGCUAAGUAAUCCUUCUGGACCUCAGCCACGUCCAAGACAUGGACAUCGAGCCAUCAACAUAAAAGAAUUAAUGGUCGUGUUUGGUGGAGGGAAUGAAGGCAUUGUAGACGAACUUCAUGUUUAUAAUUCUGUUACCAAUCAAUGGUUUGUACCGGCAAUGCGUGGUGAAGUUCCACCAGGUUGUGCCGCAUAUGGUUUUGUUGUUGUGGGUACUCGUAUGUUUGUUUUUGGUGGCAUGAUUGAAUAUGGAAAAUAUUCUAAUGAACUUUAUGAGUUGCAAGCAACAAAAUGGGAAUGGCGUAAAAUGCAGCCUGAAUUGCCGGAUAACAUGCCAGCUCCAUGUCCACGUCUAGGCCACAGUUUCACCAUAGUAGGGGAUCGUAUAUUUCUUUUUGGCGGCUUAGCUAACGAAUCUGAUGAUCCUAAAAACAACAUACCUAAGUAUCUAAACGAUUUAUACAUUUUGGAAACCCGUGGAGUACACAGUCAUAACGGCAAAUGGAUUAUGCCAAAAACAUAUGGAGAAAGCCCACCUCCACGGGAGUCUCAUACUGGCGUAGCAUUUACAAGCAAAAAAUCCAAUAAACUACAUUUAUUGAUUUAUGGUGGAAUGAGUGGUUGUCGCCUAGGUGAUUUGUGGCUCUUGGAAGUUGAUUCUAUGACAUGGUCAAAGCCACGAACACGUGGUCCCGCACCGUUACCCAGAUCCUUACAUAGCGCCACAAUGAUUUGCAAUAAAAUGUAUGUUUUUGGGGGAUGGGUACCUUUACUUAUAAAUGAUUCUAAAUCAACAACCGAAAGAGAAUGGAAAUGCACAAAUACUCUCGCAGUUCUCAAUUUGGAUUCAAUGACUUGGGAAAAUGUAACUGUCGACUCGGUUGAUGAAGAUGUACCACGAGCUAGGGCUGGCCACUGUGCAGUAGGUAUUCAAAGCCGUCUGUAUGUGUGGUCUGGUCGUGAUGGGUAUCGUAAAGCAUGGAACAACCAGGUUAGGGUUUGCUGCAAAGAUCUGUGGUAUCUUGAGGUCACUAAACCACUUUAUGCCGUUAAAGUUGGUUUGGUGCGUGCUUCCACCCAUGCAUUGGAACUGUGUUGGACCGCUACUACUUUUGCUACAGCCUAUGAGUUACAAACACAAAAAAUCGAACCUGUAACUAUGGCUGCUAAAGUGGUAACACCUUCAUAUGCUCCUAGUGCUUGUGCUACGACAGUGCCCAGCAGUCAAAAUCCCGUUAAUGGAAUGACAACGUCAAUACAACCCUCACCAACAAUGUCAUCGAACAAGCAUCAGAAGAUUUAUAAUACAGCCCUACCCACUGUUACUUUGCAACAAUCUACUGUCAAAGUAUCUACCAAUGCUCUUAUACAGCAACAGGCGCAGCCACAAACGCAUCAGCCGCAGCAACAACCUCAUAUGCAGGGUUCAACUAUUUACAUAGCACAACAAGUUCAGCAAUCUCAACAAAUCAGUCAAAUCAAUGCAAAAAUUUUAGCUUCGUCUCCGAGCAUUGUAGAGAAUACUAUGCCGACGCCACGCAUAAUAAAUGCGGCAGCACCGGCAAUUGUAAAUUCCAGCACCCCUGUUAGCGGUAGUGGAGGGGUCAUAUCAGCAACUUUAGUAAAUGUGUCCCAACAACAACCAAGUGUAUCAAUGAUCAAUAAUAACAUAACAACCAUAUUGCAAAAAUACCGACCGAAUACGGUUGUAUCUCGAACUUCUGCUAUAACUGCACCAAUUGCCACAGGAUCGGCUGCAAUAUCGUGUACACAGGUGAAUGCUGGUACUAAUAGUUUACGUGUUGUAAGUGCUGCGUCUACUCCUGUAACAACAACAGCUCAGACGAAUACUGUUCGCAUUGUGUCAGGAAAUGCUGGUCAGACUUUACGUUUAGCUACUACACAAGCUUCAGGAAAUACAACUACCAUAUUGAAAACCGCUCAAAAUACGAGCGCUAACAUGACUGGACAGGUACAAAACACUGCUAUUGCUAAUUCAGGAACGUCCAUAGGUACUGCUACCACAAUUGGUGGCAAACAAUAUAUAUUGCAAAAGCCUUUAACAUUGGGAACAAAUGUACAGUUUCAGUUAGUAAAAACUAGCACAGGCGGAGUAGCCGUGCAAACCCUUCCGAAAAUUAAUUUGAAAAAUACUAACACCGCAGGCGCACCAACUGUAGGUACGCAACAGACAGCAACAGGACAAAUAGUGACAGCUUCACAAACAGUAGUUAGCAAUGUUGUUUCACAAACACAGCAACAGUUUAUUGCUACUGUUGGCGCUGGUACCAAUGCAAAUUGCAUAACAUCUAUAGCAACUAAUGUGUCCACCGGACAGCAAAAACCAAUAGUAUCUGGUAAUCUUGUUAAAUUGGUUUCCCCGCAUACCGUUAGUGGUGGUAAAUUAAUUAUGAAAAACUCAAAUAUACUACAAGUGGGGAAGGUAUCUUCAAAUGUUGCCGGCAAACCAGCAUUUGUUAUCACUAACAAACAGGGACAUCAGUUAACCAAUCAACAGAUCAUAAUUGUUACUACUGGUUCAGCUUUACGAACCAUAUCGACAUCAAAUGUGGUGUCUCAAGCAGGUGCAUGCAACAUUGUUUCAAUAGUAGGUUCUACAUCGACAACAGCUACAGCUGUAGCGCAUAGAAAUGUGGUAGCUACUCAGAGUGGUGUUAAAAUGAUACGUGGAGUUACAAGCACAACAGGACGCCCAAUUACUCUAACAUUGCCUUCAGCGACAACGCAAUUGUCUCAGCAACAUCUUACGGGUCAACAACAUCAGCAAAAAAUCAAUGUGCAGGCUGCAAAUAUACAUCAAAAAACAAUAACAUUGGGAGGUAAAGCAGUAACAGUUCAAAUGGCUGCAAAUCCCAAUAUAACUGGGCUAACCAAAACUGUUACGAUCGUUGGAUCAAGCUCAGGGCAUACUCAACCUCAGACCAUUGUUACAAGCGGUAUAGCUGGCAACACAGGAAGCAAAUUAGUCGUGUUACCCGCUAACACAACCAUAGCUAAUAAAGGAUUUGUUAAUAUUUUAAAUACAACUGGCGUAAAUAAUAGCGGAGGAAAUACUUUGCAACGUUCGAUUACAUUAGCAUCUAAAAAUAUAAUGGGGACAACAAAUUCACAAGUCGGUUUUGCGACACACAUCAAUAGUAAUGGGUCAAAUGAACCGACAGUUGCUAUAACAGCACUAACAGAUUCUAAUUACACUGAGGGUGAUACUAUGGACGAUAUAAUUGAACAAUUAGAUGGUGCAACAGACGUAUUUGGAAAAACCAUUGACACUAACUCCGAAGAUAUUGAUUGCGAGGCAGAAACUCUCGAGUUGAAUUAUAACCAAAACCAAGUAGUAGAAAUGUAUGAAGAUUUUGAAGAAGUCGGCAUUACCUCUUUAAAUGAAACAAGAGAUUCUACAAAUAUUCGUGUAAGCACGAGAAGGAAACCUGAGUUUGCAAUUGAAUGCAUGCGCGUCCCCAAUGCGGUAGUCAUCAACUCAGAAUCUCCCCACAUACAAACAGUAUAUACACAAAAAUGUUUAAGUAAAUAAAGGAAUAACUUCGGAAAGACCACUUGCAUUACAGGGAAUGGAGUCUUUGUUGUUAUACUACCACGCAUUUCAAAAGAGGAGUACUUCUUUUUGGAUACUGUAGCAGAUAACAUUGAAUUUAAUGUUAUACUAACAUGAAUAUGCGUCAUCAUACCCAGCUAUAUAUAACUUAACUCAGCUAUUAAUGCAAUAUAAACAGGGCUGGGUCAACUUACCGUGCGUAAAUAGAUACAUAUGUAAAUUACGGAUAAUGUUUCAAAUGCACACGUUAAGAUAGUUUAUAAAAAUGCUUUUACUACUAUUAAUUUUCAGAUUAGACUCUUUGAUUCAUAAUAACAGUUUAUUUGCAUUUACAAUUUUAAUCUUUAAUUGGAAUUAAAUUCCCAUAAUUAUCUUUACAACUUUAUUUAAUAAAAAGAUGCAAGACAUUUAUAAUAUGUUUAUUUAUAUUUAAUUUGAAUGAAAAUGACAAAAUUACCAUAAAGCUUCAUUCCUGGUUUAAAGAUAUUCAGCAAUAAGCCGAAAUUUUUAUUUGUAGUUAAGAUUUUGAAAUUUAACAUAUACAUACAUAUAUAAUAACAAUGUGGAAAAAAUGUUGAACUCGGAAGUGUUUGGAAUUAUAGAUAACUAUUUUAUGUAGUAAUGCAAUUAUUUUUUUUACUUUGUGUUGAAAGUGUGUUUAUUAAAAAAAUAAAUAUCAAAAUUUACACAUUUAUGGAUAUAUUUACUAUUGUACAUUUAUACAAAAUAAACGGAGUAAUAUUUCCAUUA
rnacentral:misc_RNA from 1 species